AGAGUUUGAUCCUGGCUCAGAACGAACGUUGGCGGCGUGGAUUAGGCAUGCAAGUCGAACGAAUCCCAGCUGGGUAACUGGCUGGGGGAAGUGGCGAAAGGGGCAGUAACGCGUGGGUAACGUACCUCGGGGAUCGGGAUAGCCAUUCUAACGAGUGGGUAAUACCGGGCGAUCUGGCGUGGAGACAUCUCCGUGCCAGGAAAUGAAUUUCGCCUCGAGAGCGGCUCACGUAGUAUUAGCUUGUUGGCGGGGUAACGGCCCACCAAGGCCAAGAUGCUUAGCAGGUGUGAGAGCACGACCUGCGCCACUGGCACUGAGACACUGGCCAGACUCCUACGGGAGGCUGCAGUCGAGGAUCUUCGGCAAUGGGCGCAAGCCUGACCGAGCGACGCCGCGUGUGCGAUGAAGGCCUUCGGGUUGUAAAGCACUGUCGAGGGGGAGAAAAGCCCGCAAGGGUCUGAUCUAUCCCUGGAGGAAGCACGGGCUAAGUUCGUGCCAGCAGCCGCGGUAAGACGAACCGUGCGAACGUUGUUCGGAAUCACUGGGCUUAAAGGGCGCGUAGGCGGGUCUCCAAGUCAGGGGUGAAAUACUUCGGCUCAACCGGAGAAGUGCUUUUGAUACUGGGGACCUCGAGGGGUGUAGGGGCAUGUGGAACUUCCGGUGGAGCGGUGAAAUGCGUAGAUAUCGGAAGGAACGCCGGUGGCGAAAGCGACGUGCUGGACACCUUCUGACGCUGAGGCGCGAAAGCCAGGGGAGCAAACGGGAUUAGAUACCCCGGUAGUCCUGGCCCUAAACGAUGGGUACUGGAUUGUGGGCUGACAUGGGUUCACAGUCGGAGCAAAAGUGUUAAGUACCCCGCCUGGGGAGUAUGGUCGCAAGGCUGAAACUCAAAGGAUUGACGGGGGCUCACAC
rnacentral:rRNA from 1 species